GAGGAGUUUUUGCUAUUGUCUCACAAUAGGAGGUGACUUCAUGUUACUUCUACCCAGAGGUUAAGCGAAACUUCGGAGAUAGUAAGGGGCCCCUCUCCUGCUCCCUCCAGGCCUCUGCCAGCCCUUAGAAGCUGCCAGCUCUCUGCUGUCUUCUCGGCAUUGCAGGAAGAGAAGCAGAUAGCUUCCAGAGAGUACUCUGAGCUGAGAAGGCGAGGAUGGGUGAGAGGCCCAGGGAUUGAAUACAACUCCACCCUUCCUUCCCAGUGCCAUGGAUCCAGAGCCACAGGGACAUCUAAGCCACAUCUCACUCAGCUGCUGCAGCCACCUGUCACAUGUGGCUAGAAUCAUAGAACAGCUCCAGGUAUCAAAAGGCUUGUUUGGGGCACCUCAGAGGUUUGCAUCCACUCCCAGAGGCCACAGAGAGAGAGAGAGGCCUGGGAAGACUGUCAAGAAGUGGAAAGUUAAUAAAUUCUGUGUCACUCUGAAGACCAUGCUCUCAAGGCUCUCUAGGCCAAUAACCACGAUAAACUUGAGGAGCCGACAGAGGACACAUAUCCCUCUUGUCACUUAAAGACAAAACAGAAAAACAGAUGGCACCAGGCCUGACUAGCCGCUUUUCUCCUCCCCGCAAAGACCUGGUUAAUUCUGCGCACACUGGCUUGAUUCGGUGAAGUCGGUGUCCCUGAGUGACACCUGGAGGGAUGAACUUUGUCUGGACACCUGCAUUCUUCAUGGAAGGUGAGGCCUGUUAUAAAGGCGGUUCCUCUGAGAUGCCUGCAGCUGGCCCAAUAGGUGGGCCAGGCCGCCCAGUAGGAGCAGUGAGCUCUCACCCACCACAGCCGUCCCCGUACGCACUGAACUGCUCCAUCGCCCCACAGUCCCACAGUGUGUGCUCUUCGGGCACCUUCAACGCUAGAAAAAGAACCAGGCAGAACAAGUGGCAUGAGCGGCUGGAUACAACACGAAAGACAGUCCCCAAGCCCAGCCCCAAGGAAGGCAUCUGGGCAGGCUGGCUCCCCCACUAUGAAAAAAGCUAAGCAGUGAUUUGAACUUAUUUUCCUUUCUUUGGGUUCUUUUAAAACCUGUAUUGUGUGUUUUGUCUGCAUGUAUGUUAUGUGCACCAUACGCACACCCUAGGAGGUCAGAAGAGAGCAUAGGAUCCCCC
rnacentral:lncRNA from 1 species